UCAGAAGUCCUGAAAGAUCUCCUGUUGGGAUAAUAGGAAGGACAGCAAAGUUUGCCACAAUGGGCUUUCCUAAUUAGCGGGCCACUUCCAAAUGACAUAUGUUCAAGUAGCAAGACAGCAACAUAAAGCAGCUUGAGCCCAAAGACAAUGGUAUCUGUUUAUCAUAAUGCCAAAGAGUAGUAACAUGCAGAUGGAGGACUAUUCUGCAGGUGACAGCAGCUGUACGGUGGUCCAGGGCUGAAGUACAGCUGAUAUGCAGUGCCGUGAUGAGGAGCGCUGCUCUUGUGUAAACAAGCUGUCAUGGGGACAAUAAAUACAUUUAAGGUUAGAGGUAUGUCCGCAGACACUCAGGAGAAAAAACGUGAUGCUCUGGCAAGUUAUUGACUACUGAAUGCCCUUUGUGAGGAGAUCUGCGUGACUGAGCUGACAGCAUUCGGAACUGUUCUGCGGUCCUUCCUCAGAUCCUGUAUCCCUCGGAAAGGUUGCAGCAACCUCUUCGGGAGGCUACACAAAAGAUGACCUUACUGAACACAACCCACAAUUUGCAGUGUCUGAACUCUUCAGGCAUGCACACAAUCGGCAUGUUUGACAUCAAAAAUGGCAUCAAGCAAGGAAAAGCACCACAGUGAAUUAUACUGCUGGAUCAUCGAUGCACUGGGGCUGAUUGGCUGCUGCUAUAUGUCCGAAAGCUCAGUUUCUCCUGCCAGAAUGUUAACACUUGGCCAUAGAUCAGUAAGACAAUGACCCCAGAUAUUCAUGAAAAUAUAUUAAAAAAAUGAUUGAAGGACCGCAAAGCUUAGGUUUUUCAAUGGUU